rnacentral:lncRNA from 1 species
AAUUGAAUAUUAGGCUAUUACAUUUUUUAAAAUAUAUGCAAGAAAACGAUUGAAAAUGGGAUUAGUAUUAGUUGGAUAAUUGGUUGCGUAAGGUAUUCUACCUAAAGUUGACUUUGAACGACUUAAUUGAAGAAGAAAAAAUUAUAAAAAAAUAUUUUCCAUUUAAUUAUAAUUGAACAUGAAUGCGUGUAAAUUACAUAUAAAUUCAAUGAUUGAG